CAAGACCAAAGAAGACAUUUUUUUCAAGUAAGAGAGAAGAUUGUUCAUUUUUUUUUAAGCAAAGCAGUGAAUACAAAUCAAUUUUUCAGGAAUUGGAUGCUCAUAAAUCCACUGUUCGUAAUAUAAUCAAGAAAUAUGGAGAAGUUUGUAAUUGCAAAAGAACUGGUCGGCCAUCAAAACUAUCUUCUCACUUGCAAAGAAAAGCGGCCAAGGAAGACAAAAUUAACCCCAGAACAAAUAUCAAGGUGAUUUUAGAUGAUUAAGAGAAGAAUAUGCUUGAUAAAGAAGGCUUUGAUUGGAGACGUUCAAGAAAAACACCAUUUCUCAAACCUCGACAUAUUAGAUCAAGAUUAAAGUUUGCCAAAUAACACUUGGAGAAGGAUAUGACCUUAUCGUCUACAGUAUUGUGGUCAGAUGAAACAAAACUUCGAGCUUUUUGAUCCCACCUCUACUCAGUUCGUUUGGAUGAAAUCGGGAGAGGUCUUCUCUCCUCGUAACGUGAUACCUACAGUUAAACAUGGUAGUAGAUCAAUCAUACAUUGGGACUGUUUUUUUAUUUUCAAAAGGCCUUGCCCGUAAGAUGUUAUUACAAUAUGACAAGAACUCAAAAAAUUCCAGCAAAUUCACAUCCUCGUGGCUUCGAAGGAGUAGGAUUAGGGGUUUGGACUGGCCUUCAUUCAAUCCAGACAUCAAUCCUAUUGAAAAUCUUUGGCUGAGAUAAAAACACGGGUUCAUACCAGAAAACCCAAAAAUAUCCAAGAAAUCAAAUCAUAUAGUAUUGAAUAGUGGCAAAAUAUUCCAUCUACGACUUGUUUGAACUUAAUUAUAAAUUAUAAUAAAAGAUUAGGAACGUUAUCAGAAAUAAAGAUUACACAAUUGAAGAUUAAUUAAAGGGGGCGUCGAUACUUUUACCCUAUAUUUUUUCAAAUUAUUUCCUAAAAAGUAUAAAUUUAUCUGUUUAUCAAAGCAUACAUAGUUUAGAUCAUUAAUUAUCAAUAAACAUUUCUUAUAUUAAUCA
rnacentral:lncRNA from 1 species